rnacentral:rRNA from 1 species
AGAGUUUGAUCCUGGCUCAGAACGAACGUUGGCGGCGUGGAUUAGGCAUGCAAGUCGAACGAAUCCCAAGGGGCUUGCUCCUUGGGGGAAGUGGCGAAAGGGGCAGUAAGGCGUGGGUAACCUACCCCGGGGACCGGGAUAGCCUUCCUAACGGGAGGGUAAUACCGGGCGAUUUGACGAGGGGGCAUCUCCUUGUCAGGAAACGAGUUUCGCCUCGGGAGGGGCUCACGUGGUAUUAGCUUGUUGGCGGGGUAACGGCCCACCAAGGCCAAGAUGCCUAGCGGGUGUGAGAGCACGACCCGCGCCACUGGCACUGAGACACUGGCCAGACUCCUACGGGAGGCUGCAGUCGAGGAUCUUCGGCAAUGGGCGCAAGCCUGACCGAGCGACGCCGAGUGCGCGAUGAAGGCCUUCGGGUUGUAAAGCGCUGUCGAGGGGGAGGAAAGUCCGCAAGGGCCUGACCUAUCCCUGGAGGAAGCACGGGCUAAGUUCGUGCCAGCAGCCGCGGUAAGACGAACCGUGCGAACGUUGUUCGGAAUCACUGGGCUUAAAGGGCGCGUAGGCGGUCAAUCACGUCUGGGGUGAAAGCUUUCGGCUUAACCGGAAAAGUGCCUUGGAUACGGAUUGACUUGAGGGAGGUAGGGGCAGGUGGAACUUCCGGUGGAGCGGUGAAAUGCGUUGAUAUCGGAAGGAACGCCGGUGGCGAAAGCGACCUGCUGGAUCUCUUCUGACGCUGAGGCGCGAAAGCUAGGGGAGCAAACGGGAUUAGAUACCCCGGUAGUCCUAGCCCUAAACGUUGGGUACUAGGUAGGAGACUUAACAUGGGUUUCCUGCCGAAGCAAAAGUGCUAAGUACCCCGCCUGGGGAGUAUGGUCGCAAGGCUGAAACUCAAAGGAAUUGACGGGGGCUCACACAAGCGGUGGAGCAUGUGGCUUAAUUCGAGGCUACGCGAAGAACCUUAUCCUGGACUUGACAUGUGCGAAAGCGC